GUAUUCUAUUCAGCAGCUCUUAGAGUCAAACAGGAACGAUACAGAGAAAAGUAGCAGGGCCCCUGUGCAAGGUCGACACAGUAGAGUUCCACAAUUAAAAAAAUACAU
rfam:Fukomys damarensis contig105170, whole genome shotgun sequence.